rnacentral:rRNA from 1 species
AAGGUCAAGAAAGUUUAAUGGCUAUACCUUUUGUAUCAGGGGAGUUUAAAAGUUUAGGUAUGGAUUUAUCGAUUGAGCAGGAUCUUUUUAAGACUAAUUGAAAGUAUAAUUAUUCAAUAUAAGUGUAUUCGGGGUGAAAUGUGUACGACUGUUUUGGUAGCUAGUUAAUUUUAUGCGCUAAAUUUUAAGUUUUUGUAGAGCUAUGGUAGUAAUUUUUUAUUAAAACUAGGCUUUAAAUUAGUUAAGUUAAUAUAUUGUUUUAAAGUAUUUUUAAGGAAAAGUGUUAGUAAAAUAGAGCUAUUAAGUUAAUUUUUGGUUUUUUUAUCUCAAAUAUAUAAUGAGUUUAUUGAAUAUAAUUUAGGGCUUUAAAAUAACUCAAAAUUGGUUUGAUAGUUUAGCAAAAACAUUUCUAUCAGGUUAAAAGAAAGUAAAGCCUGCCCAGUGAAGAAAUGCUUAACGGCCGCGGUAUUUUGACUGUGCUAAGGUAGCAUAAUCAAUUGUUUUUUAAUUGGAAACUGGAAUGAAAGGUUAAACAGAUUAAGGUGGUUUGUGUAGUCUAGCUGGUAAGUUAAAGUCAAGGUAAGAAUUCUUUGAUGCUUCUAGGGGACGAUAAGACCCUAAAAGCUUUAAAAAAGAAAAGUUUUUAGUUAUUGUAUAAUUUUUUUACUGGGGCGGUAUUAGUAUUUUAACUACUAAUGGUAAAGAUUGAUCCUUAGUAUAAAGAUAGUUCGGUUAAGUUACUUUAGGGAUAACAGUGCGGUAUUUUUGGAAAGGUCUUAUUGAUAAAAAUGUUCGUAACCUCGAUGUUGAAUUAAGAUUUCUACAUGGGGUAGUAAAUAUAGUAGAGGGUUUGUUCAACCUU